rnacentral:tmRNA from 1 species
CAAGGUUUCGACAGAUUGCUAGAAGCUACAGCAGCAUGCUGAGGAUCAUUGGUUGGCCUCGUUAAUCAUCCAAUGACUUAUAACUGCCAAACAUCAAGGUGCAGUUCUGGGUGCAAAAUUUGCAAUGGCCUUUGCGGGUCUUUGCAAUUUGAGCACUCAGGUCGCAGUUGCUUAAUUAAAAGCAACGAACUUCAUUUGGGUCUCACUUAUCUUUAUGGAGUAGUUUAAAGGUGAUCGUUUCUAUCGGUGCAUUUACGGUAGGAAUUAAAAAACUAAAUGAUAGCUACUAUAGGUGCUGUGAAUCAAACUAUAGAUAGUGAAAAUAAAGAUUUACUAAGCAUGUAGACACUGUUGCAGACAACAUUCUGGACAGGGGUUCGAUUA